UGUGGAGCUGGAACUGAAAUUUAUGGCAGCUGGUUGAACAAAUCCAUGCUCUGCCUUGUCCUGUAAAAUAAAGUCAAGUCCACACUCAGGGGGUCCUCUGGAGAUCAGUUCAGACUCACCCAAGCAUGGAGGGGGAGGAAAUAGUUUUGGAAGCCAAGGGCCUCCCCUGUCUCCUUAGUGAGAAAUGUGGAGAGGACUGGAAAGACAUCUUCCCCUUUGUACAAAGACGUUGAUGCAACAACCCCGGGACGGGCCCCCACCAAUACUUCCUGUCCACAGUGCCAGCUGCUGUCUCUGUCCUUCACCCUCUGGCUCCAGGUCGAUGCCUGCUGCAGGGCUGGCCAUGGGUCCCUGUCCCACCUGCCUCUGGGUCCUUGUGCUCUGCCUGGCCCAGACCAUCCACAUGCAGAACAGGACCUUUCCCAAACCCUCCAUCAGUGCCGAGCCGGGACCUGUGAUCCAUCGGGGACAGCCUGUGACCAUCGUGUGCCAGGGCCCAGCUGGGGCUGACCUAUUCCGUCUGGAGAAUACACCUGUUUAUUGGGAUCAGAAAAUCACUUCUCAACAUGGCUCACAGAGGGCAGAGGCCAGAUUCUGCAUCAGUGCAGUGAGUGAUGACACUGCCAGGAGUUAUUGGUGCCGCUAUCACCAAAAGCUUGGCUGGUCUGAGCUCAGUAAGCCCCUGGAGCUGAAGGUUGCAGAUGAGGAAAACUACAUUCCACUGUCAGGUUUGCCCCAGGUCCCUGCACUCUGUCCCCAGCUAUGUCCUCUGUCCCAGGCCCCUUCCCUCCUGCUGGCCCCCAGCCCUGUGGCUCCCCUGCCCCUCUGCACUCAUAUCCUUUGACCUUCACCCCUGGCUCAGGACCCUGGAGUACUGGACCCUUUCUGAAACCACGAUGACCUGGACACUGAGCCCGGCAUUGUGGACACAGAGCUGUCCCUGCAGGGCUGGGUGGGGAGUGGACUCCCAGAGGUCAGGUGGGGACAGCCCCCUUCAAGGAGACAGGUGUCACACCCUCUAGGAUGGUGUUUUACUGUCCUUUUUCCUGGGCCAGACUCGAUGGGGCCACAGGUAAUGUGUCCUGUAUGCAUGAUUGAUCCUUUUUGGAAACUCAUGGGGUCCAGGAGCCAUGACCAGGUCUGGAUGUUGCUUUGCAGAAUUUGGGGGUUGAAGCUGUCCAUCACCGGUGUGUUCAGGCCUGAGAUGUCUUGGACCCAGAGUCCACUGGGGACACUGUGACCUCCUCCAUAUCCUCCUGGGUUUCAGAGGAUCAAUUCCUUGCUGACUCAUGCGGUCUGGAGCAGCAUGGUGGUGGGAGGUGAAACAGUGACCACUUCCCCUCAGCAGAACCGAGCAGGGACCUCUCCAUGACUCCUGCCCCCCAUUUCUCAGGAAUGUGAGGGGUCUUCUGGGACUGAAGGAUGGACUAAUGUGGCCUGUGGGUGGAUGAUCAGGAUGGAGUGGGGCCAGGGGAUCAGGUGGGACAGACCCAGGCAGCCCCCACAUGGCAUUAACUCUUCUCCUGCCCUGUUCACAGGAACCCCCAGAGUUGUCAGCUCCACCCCCUUCUCAUGCACAAAGCCCCCCACCACACCUGAAAGUUCCACCAGCAGAGCAGCAUUGGAGGGAACAGGACACACGCAGACAAAUUCCCCGGACACUAAGACCAGCAGUGAGUGGUGGAGUCAGAGGGCCAUGGACCUGGAGCGUGCCUCUUGGGGGAGGGAGAAAGAAUGGGGUUCGGCGUUCAUCACAUUCCAGUCCUUUCAUCGUCCUGUGGAAAGAGGACCCAACGUCCUCACUCAGGACCCCGGUUUUGUAAAAUGGGAGUGAUCAUCUCGGUGUGGCAGGACUGUGAGGCAUGUGAGAGAUUAUCUACGUGGGUGUGAACAUGCCAAGCCCCCAGCGCAGGCAUGGUAUGCAGUAGGUGCUCAGUAAAUGCACGCUGCUGACACCUUGGUUCCAUUUUCUCUGCUCACCCAGUUCUGUCACCAGAGCUUCUUUAUAUUCUUGUCGGGAUCUGUGUGGCCUCUCUGCUUUGUCUCCUCCUCCUGGCCUUCCUCUUAGUCCACCGUCAGCGUCAGAAAAAACCUGGGCCCCCCAGCAGCAAGGGUGAGGAGCCAAGACCCCAGGAGAGGCUCAGCCCAACAGCUGACAUCACAGAGAGCCCAGCAGAUGUGGCCACCACAGUGGAUGCACUUCCUGAGGAAAAUGAAGACAUGCACAGCCCAAGCACUGCUGCAGGAGACCCCCAGGAGGUAACAUAUGCCCAGCUGGACCAGUGGGCCCUCACACGGAGAGCAGCUCACACCGAGACCCCACAACCCAUGGAGCCCACAGCUGAGUCCAGCGUGUAUGCAGACCUCUCCAGACACUGACUUCAGGACCACCUGGCCUCUGCACCUCAAGACACAGGAUGCCACUCUUGCAGAGGCUGGUAGCAGCCACUUGGAGGACUUCCCUAUUAAACUAUCUCCCUCCUGAAAGUCAUCAACACAUUUUUGCUGGAGGCAAGACCUGGACUUUGGGGACCCCUACUGAAGAAGCAGGAGGUUCACUAACCCGGUUGCUCCUCCUACAACCAACCAGCUUGGUGAAGCACAGUUGUAACUCUUGUUUCCAGAGACGCAGCUACUGGUACCUGGCUGUUCCAGAGACCCAGCUAAUGUUGUCAGGCAAUUUCCAUAGAACUAACCAAUGUCCAGCAGUUUCCAGAGAUCCAACUAAUUUUGCCUAGCAGUUUUGAGAGACCCAGCUAAUGCUGUGCAACAGUUUCCAGAGACCCUGCUAAUGUUGCCUAUCUGGUUUCAGCAGACCCAGCAGCUAUGGGUCAAACCGGCUGCCUCAUCAGGUUAAAAGGAGUCUUUACCCUGAGGACCUCUAGGGGGCCCGAGUGUCUCCUUCAGAUAAUUUAGCGGUUUUUAUUAAUUUUUUUGCUUUCUUUUUUUAAUAGGAAAAAGAAGAAACUUGCAUGCCUGUUACAGACCUGGUAUUAAAAAUGCUAUUCCAUAUUAAAAGAAUAUU